GGAAUUGCUGUCCCUUCUCAAGGCUGUGUAAACUCCCCCAAUCUCUCUCUCUCUAGGACCUGAGAGCAACAUGUUGUUGGAUUCUAUGUGGAAAGUCUGCUGAAGGUGGCGUCCUCAAAGAAGGCUACAAGGAACUUUGUGUCAAUUGAAGAGAAAUUCUCUGCCAACUUCAAGGUCACAUACAUGAGAAGGGCGAAGACCAAGAAACGGGAGCUAGAGAGGGAGCUGAAGGAGACAGGCGUGAGACUGUCUCCAUACAGCUCCAAUACUUCGCUCUGCAGCAAGCUGGUGGAAGAGGACUGCAAAGGGCUUGGGAGGGACCUUGCGUUCCUUACAAAGGACAUCCCCUUCCGCCUUACUGGCCAGCAGCUGCAAAAGGAAGGCUGUGCUCCUGAGGCAAGCAGUAACUCAGGCCAUUCGUGAAGUCUUUACAAGAAAAACAGAAAAACAACUUAGAGCCUUGUGGAGCCUUUACAAAUAGCCUCGUUUCUCGUGGUUGGGCGACGAAAGGGGGAACUGACAAUUGGGGUAGUUUGGUUCUGGGGGGAAGAAUAAUACGGACGGACGUCAACAAUCAAGCGCGACUGAAGGACUGGAAACGACGGUAAUCAAACAUUUCAAACAAGUGAUUUACGGUUAAGUUUAGGGUUAGGGUUAAGGUUUAAGUUUAAUGUUGGAGGAAGGGAGACAUGGCAUGAA